rnacentral:rRNA from 1 species
UCCCGUGAACCAUCGAGUCUUUUGAACGCAAGUUGCGCCCAAGGCCAUCAGGCCAAGGGCACGCCUGCCUGGGCAUUGCGAGUCAUAUCUCUCCCUUAAUGAGGCUGUCCAUGCAUACUGUUCAGCCGGUGCGGAUGUGAGUUUGGCCCCUUGUUCUUUGGUGCUGGGGG